rnacentral:misc_RNA from 1 species
GUAGGUGAACCUGCGGAAGGAUCAUUCACAAUAAGUGUUUUAUGGCACUUUUUCAAUCCAUAUCCACCUUGUGUGCAAUGUUGUCUUGUAACGCGAAUGCUUGUCAUUUGCGCUACAGGAUGUAAACAUCAACUCUUAUUUUUAACAACUUUGUCUGAAAACCUGUAUGAAUACUUAAUUCAAAUACAACUUUCAACAACGGAUCUCUUGGCUCUCGCAUCGAUGAAGAACGCAGCAUCUGACUGACUUC